rnacentral:rRNA from 1 species
GACGAACCGUGCGAACGUUGUUCGGAUUCACUGGGCGUAAAGGGCACGUAGGCGGCUUGGCAAAUCGGUCGUGGAAUCCCGACGCUUACCGUCGGAACGGCGGCCGAAAAUACCGAGCUCGAGGGCGUGAGGGGUCACUGGAACUCCUGGUGAAGCGGUGAAAUGCGUAGAUAUCAGGAGGAACGCCGGAGGCGAAAGCGAGUGACUGGCGCGUUCCUGACGCUGAGGUGCGAAAGCUAGGGGAGCAAACAGG